rnacentral:rRNA from 1 species
GCCAGCCCGCUCAGAACUCAAAGGAAUUGACGGGGCCGCACAAGCGGAGGAGCAUGUGGUUUAAUUCGAUGAUACGCGAGGAACCUUACCUGGGCUCGAACGUAAGAUGACUGUAGGUGAAAGCUUACAUCUCUUCGGAGCAUUUUACGAGGUGCUGCAUGGUUGUCGUCAGCUCGUGCCGUGAGGUGUCGGGUUAAGUCCCAUAACGAGCGCAACCCCUACCUUUAGUUGCCAUCAGGUUAAGCUGGGGACUCUAAAGGAACUGCCUACGCAAGUAGUGAGGAAGGCGGGGAUGACGUCAAAUCAGCACGGCCCUUACGUCCAGGGCUACACACGUGCUACAAUGGCCGAUACAGAGGGCAGCUACCUGGUGACAGGAUGCAAAUCUCCAAAGUCGGUCUCAGUUCGGAUCGGAGUCUGCAACCCGACUCCGUGAAGUUGGAUUCGCUAGUAAUCGCGCAUCAGCCAUGGCGCGGUGAAUACGUUCCCGGGCCUU